rnacentral:misc_RNA from 1 species
CUGAGUCGUCGACACGAGUUGUUGCUGGUCCUCAAACAGGGGACAUGUGCACGCUCUGUUUACACAUCCACUCACACCUGUGCACCCUCUGUAGUUCUAUGGUCUGGGGGGCUCUGCCUCCCUUCUGUGGUUCUGCAUCUUUACACACACACUGUAACAAAGUUUUAUGGAAUGUACAUCGCGUUUAACGCAAUAUAAUA